ACGUGUCGGUCUUUCUGUGCGGAGCUGGGAGGGAGGGAGUCGCACUGUGGGAGCUGGAACAGCAGCGUUGGGGGAAUGGCGCCUCCCUGCCUGUGGGGCCUCAGGUCGGUGAGAAGCUGUUGGACCCCCGGUUCCGGUGAAAAGUCACAAUAUCUGCCUCCACUUGUUGGGAAUCCGAAGGGCCACAGAUGGGAUCACAAGGACGGUGGUGAUGGUAUAGAUUGUGUGCCCAGAACAUUCCUUCUCUGUAUAUUUGUAUUUAUACAUAUGGGUAGGGGGUGCCAUAGUGUUUCCCUUA